rnacentral:ncRNA from 1 species
UUCUUAUCAAGAGCGGCAGAGGGACUGGCCCGAUGAAGCCCGGCAACCCCUUGCAUCUUACGCAUGAGCGAAGGUGUAUGGAAGGUGCCAAAUCCUGCAGGAGAAUAUCCUGAGAGAUGAGAG